rnacentral:misc_RNA from 1 species
AACUUUCGGCAACGGAUCACUUGUCUCCAGCAUCGAUGAAGAACGCAGCGAAACGCGAUAUGUAAUGUGAAUUGCAGAAUUCAGUGAAUCAUCGAAUCUUUGAACGCACAUGGCGCCUUCCAGUAUCCUGGGAGGCAUGCCUGUCCGAGCGUCGUUUCAACCCUCGAGCCCCUGUGGCCCGGCGUUGGGGAUCCGCCACGGCAGGCCCCUAAAACCAGUGGCGGACCCGAAGGCCCUCUCCUUUGCGCAGUAGCAUCAGCCUCGCAUUGGGAUCCCUCGGCGUCCUGCCUCUAAACGCCCCACAAGUCCGCUCCGGCGGCACCAAGGUUGACCUCGGAUCAGGUAGGAAUACCCGCUGAACUUAAGCAUAUCAAUAAGCGGAGGCU